UUCAGGAUGGCUGAGUGGUUAAAGCGUCAGAUUACCAAUCUGUUCCACUUCAUGUGGGCGUGGGUUCGAAUCCCACUUCUGAGG